UCCAAACGGUCCCCUCAUUCCAUGCAGCCUCCAGGAGUCCCCUUUUGGGCCCCCACGCACAGUCCCAUCAGCGGAGCACCCGGGCCUCUGGGAAGUGGGGCAAGACGUGGGGGAGGGCCGGGGACCCAGGGGCACGCCCGGCGGGAGGGCCAAUCAUUCGGGUCUCUCCCCGAGGUGGCCUGCCCGCCUGGGGCCGCACACAGCAACUCAGGACACGAAAGGAAGGUGCAAGAAGGGACCCAAGAGGGGCCAAGCAGGGCUGGGGGCGGCGGCGGUGGGAAGACAGACCGAGGCCCAAGGGAUGCAGGAGGAUAGAGGGGCUCUUCCGUUUCUGCUGUCGGCGCCUCCUCCUUCCGACCCCACGUGGCUCCAGCGCAGGAGCUCCUCGUGGGAAGCCCUUCCCAGAAGCCGCGGUGUCUUCAGCCUGGCGGCGCUGCGGGAGGACCCCCUUGGCCCUCCGUGUGUCUGCGGUGCCUCCUGCAGGUUCUCCUGAGAAGAGUGACCCCAUCAGCUGUGAUCCAAACGAGAACACUCUGGAGAGUGAAGAAGGGCCUCCGCAGAGCAAUAAGCAUAAACCAGACUCUAGGACAGCGGGUGUAAACCAGGACUGGGCCCUGUGGUCACCCUGUCUCAGAAGGACGCCUCUGAGCGAGGUUUCUCUGGCUCGGCAGGGGCUCCCCCCCGACUUACCCCAGCUCUAGGCCUCGUUUCCAGCUCUGGGCCUCCAUCCCCGCCGCAGGCCUUCCGUUUCAGCAAUCACACCUGCAUUCGCUCUUCUUUUACCUUUUACCCCGGCUAAGGAAAUCACCUUUCACCUGGUGCCCCAACCUGGAAAUCUCCUUAACCCUUACUUAAAUCCACCUGGUCCCCAAGUCCUGGUGAUUCUGCUUCUGUCAUGUGUCCUAGGGAGCCCUUCCCCCUCUCCAGCCCUGCUUGUCCCCGCCUGACUUCAGUUCCUCCUCCAGUCUUCUCUCCCUGACGCCAAAAGCCCCGUCUACAGCUCUGGGUGGGGGGUUGAGUCGGGGACCACACAGGUGUGAGACAUCAGGCAAAACCACCUAAAUAGCUGGACCCACUUCCUAGAUGUUGUUGAGUUCCAGAAUCUCUCCAGGGCUUUUUAGGGCUUGGCAAACCUCCAGGGACUGGACGUAAGUGCCCAGAUACAGAGGUUCCUGGAUUUGCUUGGGGCUCAGGCGCCACAUGGGAAGGAAUUCAGUGUCACUUAGAGCCUGAACUUCUUAGAGCUUAGGCAGAAGUUUCUGGAAGAUGGCUGGGAGGACAGAGAGCCAGAAAGCACGGUGAGGUGGGAAGACGGGCUGGUAGAAAAAGCUGCUGGAUCAGGAAUGAGAGAGCCAGGGGGCCUGGGUGGUGUAUGAAGCCGUGUCUGAGCUCUCCCCAAUGGAGAGUGUGGGGUGGGCUGAGACGGAGAGGCCAGGGCUGCGUCACGGGGAUCCCAGCUGCUCUCUGGUGGCUGCAGGUAGAAGGUGACUCCCUGCUGGGUGGAGGGGGGACACGUGAGCCGUCAGUGGUGUGGAGGAGGGGGCGGGGAGGGGCUCAUAGCCCUGGCAGAAGCCCACUUUUGGCGCAGCGACAGAGUUUAGUCCAGCAGCCCAUGAGUGGGGCAGAGCGGUGAGUGGAGUAGAAAGAUGGCCAAAGGGGCCAGCGCUGGCCGGGGCUGUGUGUGAAACAGCCCUGCCCCCCCCCUUCUAGAGGACAGAACCUACUCUGAGUCCAUGAGCUUCAGGGGGCCAGAGAUCACCAGGAUAAGCACCUCUGAGAAUUCUAGGAAAUACUGUAUCCAACGUUUUAUUCUAGAAAAUUCGAAACGUACAUAAAAGCAGAGAGAGAAUGCGUGCUUGUGCGCACAUAAGCAGGCAGAGGCGGAAAGAGAAGCAGGCUCCCUGCCGAGCAAGGAGCUAGACGCAGGACUCAAUCCCAGGACCCUGGAAUCAUGACCUGAGCCGAAGGCAGCAGCUUAACGGACUAAGCCACUCAGGCAUCCCAACACAUAAGAAUUUAAAUAAAAACUUUAAACAAACAGAAUAUUUGGGACGCCUGGCUGGUUCAGUUGGUAGGGCACAUGACUCUUGAUCUUGGGUCGUGAGUUCGAGUCCCAUGUUCGGUGUAGAGAUUACUUUUUUAAAAAAUCUUUAAAAAAAUAAUAAAAAUAUAGCAGUUCCAAUGAGUGACUCCAACCAUGCCAUCAUAUUCAAAAUUGUGACUGUCCUCAGAUGUCUGUCAGCUGGCAAUUUUUUUUAAAUAUUUUAUUUAUUCAUUUGACAGAGAGAGAUCACAAGUAGGCUGAGAGGCAGGCAGAGAGAGAGGGGUAAGCAGGCCCCCUGCCUGCUGAGCAGAGUGCCCGAAGCGGGACUGGAUUCCAGGACCCAAAGAUCACGAUCUGAGCU